rnacentral:pre_miRNA from 1 species
AGGAGCAACAGCCCUAGUGGCGGGGCCAGCUCUGCAGCCCUGGAUUCAGCCCCGGUAGUAACUCCGGAGCUCUCUGUCUGCAGGGCCUGGAGGCACGGGGCGGG